CCACCAAUCAACCAAAACUGUUCAUUCCUCCACCAAUCUUCAAGAGUAAUCCCUGACCAUUUGAUUUCAAGGAUAGCAAGCAUGCAAAGGGUGAUUGUGAUCGCGAGCAAGAACACCAAAAAGGUGAUGUUGAGGGACUGCACAAUGAAUUUUCCUGAGAAGAGUGAAAGUGCAGGCAAGACACAAUACACAAGGAGAACACCAAAAAGGUGAUGUUGAGGGACUGCACAAUGAAUUUUCCUGAGAAGAGUGAAAGUGCAGGCAAGACACAAUAGACAAGGAGGAAAACAGAAGUGAACGGAUACAUUCCCACAUUGAAAUAUGCCACCCUC
rnacentral:lncRNA from 1 species